GCCCUCGUUGAUUAAAUGGUAAAUCACCCGCUCCUUGUCAGCCCGACAAUCACUAUAGCUACGAGUCCAGUGGGAGAUGGAGGUUCGAAUCCUCCCGAGGGCA